rnacentral:rRNA from 1 species
AGUGAACGCUGGCGGUAGGCCUAACACAUGCAAGUCGAACGGCAGCACAGUAAGAGCUUGCUCUUACGGGUGUCGAGUGGCGGACGGGUGAGGUAUACAUCGGAAUCUACUUUUUCGUGGGGGAUAACGUAGGGAAACUUACGCUAAUACCGCAUACGACCUACGGGUGAAAGCAGGGGAUCUUCGGACCGUGGGCGAUUGGAUGAGCCGAUGACGGAUUAGCUAGUUGGCGGGGUAAAGGCGCACUAAGGCGACGAUCCGUAGCUGGUCUGAGAGGAGGAGCAGCCACACCGGGACGGAGCCACGGUCGAGAAUAGUACGGGAUGCGGCGGGGGGGAAUAUUGGACAAUGGGCGGGAGCAUGAAGCAGCAAUGCCGUGUGAGUGAUGAUGGUCUGGGGAAAGAAAAGCCCGUGUACCCGCCAGGAUAUUGACAGUACCGGGAGAAUAAGCGCCGGCUAACUCCGUG